rnacentral:lncRNA from 1 species
AUCACAACAUCUUCUGAAAUCCCUCGCACCCUUUCACCCAAAAGAUGUGCUUUGAGAGUUUCCUUCCUCAAUCAGGCUUUUGAAGUGAACAGACACCUCCUCCUUAAAAAUGGCCAUCCUUUUCCCUCGGGUCAUUCAAGUAAAGCAAAUUCUGCGGAAAUCAUUAUGCAAUGGAAACAACACUACUAAAUCUAUGGACAUCCCGAAAGGCUAUCUAGCAAUCUAUGUUGGUGAGCAAGAAAAGAAGCGAUAUGUGGUUCCUGUAUGGUUGUUAAGCGAACCUGCUUUUCAAGAAUUACUAGAUCAGGCAGUACAAGAAUUUGGGCAGGGCCGGUCCAAACGUAUAUGGGGCCCAGGGCGAAAAGGAAAAAAAGGGCCCCUUAAAGGACAAAUAUCAUAAAGAUUCAAAAAAAUAUCAUUUAUUUUUCAGUAUAAAUGCGUACAAUUAGCAAUAACAAGCAAGCCAAAUUGUUUAUCUUUUGAGCUAAUUUGAGUUUGAACCAACUUUAGACCCAAAAAAUCAUUUAGGUAUUAAUUUUUUUGUAUAUAUACACUACAUAUCCCAAAAAAUUUGGGCCCCCUGGAGACAUGGGCCCUAGGCGAUCGCCCGGGUUGCCCACCGUCUGGACCGGCCCUGAAUUUGGGUAUGUUCAUCAAAUGGGCGGCCUCACAAUUCCAUGCAGUGAAUAUACAUUCAGUGAUGUUGCUUCUCAGUUGGGCGCAUUAUGACUUCUAUACAACAUUCUUACAACCAACUAACCACUAGGUUUUUUUAUCAUUUGUAAAUAAAUGAAGACAAUUUUCCCUCUUGUAUGAAAUCGGAUCAAGGAAGAGUUUUGAGUUUACUAUAAUUUGCUUAGUGUAUGAAUGAGAAACUAAUUUCACGGUUGAUUAUUUGAAAUAUGAAUUUUGGGAGUGAAAUGGAGUUUUAACAAAGAUAGUUGCUUCUAGUGGUAAAACGAACUAAUACCAACUAAUCUUUCUUCCAUUUUCAUAUUUUAGGUGAAUGAAACUAAGGGAAACCAAAUAUUUCGUAAUAUGAAUUGGUAAUUAAUGUUACGUAUGCUGGAAUUUUAACUCUAUAAACAAUGUGGUAUUUAUCAAGUUCAGACUUAUCAUCAAAAAUAUAAUUGGUGAACAAUAUGUAGCACUUGGGUCGAUGACCUUGUGAUGGUGAUAUAUAAAACAUUAAAUCUCACAUGCUUUGGUUCUUUAAGAAAAUUAAUAUAUAAAUUGGCUAAACAUUGAUGCAUUACACGACGAAUUCGGUCCUGCUUGAAAACAAUUUCAUCGUAUGAAAAAAAAAACCUGGUGAUUAGAUAUAUGAAUAACGUUAUAUCAAUGUUUAACUAUUCUUAUGAUUACUUAUACACCCAUAUAUCAUGUAAAUUAGAGCCAAUGAGUCAUGUUUUUACAACUAUGCAAUUUCCUUGUCACAACCCAUUAAUAUGUGAAAUUGUUACAUACAACAUUAAAUUAACUGAGAAUCAUCGUGUAGAAGUAUUAUUUUCAAUCAUGAUUAUGCACUAUGACCGUUACGUAAAAGACAAUGAAAAAACAUUGAUAUUUGAUUUUGGUUCCUCAUAUAGGUGUAAGCACAUGUUAUUAGAUUAGCCAACAACUGAACAAAAAAAGUAUAGUACGCGUAUAUUUAUUCACAAUUUUUUUUUAAUUGAGCAGACACUUCUUUUUUGAAAGAAAAAAAAUGUUGACAAUGAAUUUUGUUUCUCAUUCAUAUAUAAGCUUAUAUCGUCAAAUAAUAUAUGGGGUACUCCAAACAAGUGAAAAUUCAUGUUUUAUACAAUAGGGACAACUGACAUAAUCCCACAUGCAUGUUGCAAAAAGGUCGAUCAAUGCUUUACAAAAAUGUGUAAGCAAACAAAAUAAUGUAACUUGACUUCAAAAUGCUCCCAGGCGACUUUGAAGUUCAAACAAUGUCUUCUCACUACAGCGGAUUUUAGGCCACCCAUUCGAUUGUCAUAUCGAAAUCCAAACUCUUCCUCCACCUAACGAGCACAGUUCAUGAACAUCGAUGUCUAAAUAAUCUCAAGUAACAAGUUAAUCUUCCCUUAUUCAAAGUUUUUACCAAAUGCUUAGAAUAAAAAGUAUGUUGCUAUUUCUUGCAUUUAAACUGUUUUAAUGUCAAAAAUAAUUAUAUUAAAAAAAAUAACAAAGUCAGCAAGUAGAUGAGAAAGAAGCAGAAUAAAACAACAAUCCAAUUUUAACCGAACAAUUUCAUUCUUUCAACUUGUUAAGCUUUUGUCCCUUCUUUGUAAAUUACUUAGAAUUGUCCCAUUUGCAUCAAUACACAUGUAGAUUUGUUUCCACAAUUCUUCUAACAUUUACAUACCAAUUCCACGUUAUAAUCAAAGUUUUACCUAACCCAUUCCCUUUUCCAUUAUGUGUUUGAAUUUACAGUUCAAUUCCAAUUUGACUAAAGGUUAGUAAUACUCAAAUCAGUCGCAUUCCAGAUAUUCAAGUUUUUGCCAUGCAAUCAUAUUUCUAAGCUCAUUACAAAUAGUAAUACAUGAGUCCAAAUCCAAUUUCAAAAUUUAUUUAAAUAUAUUUGAAAAAUCAACUUACUAUAAUUUGGUUAUUUCCUCAAGAAUCUAACAAACUGAAGAACAACUGGAAUUUUGGGUUACCAAAUGUGAGAAAUCACUCAUCUGUUAUAUGAUUUAUGUUCUCCUUUUCUUUUUCCCCUUUUUCUCGUUCGGUUCGCACUCAACAUAAUACAAAGAGACCUUGAAGGUAUCCCUUUCUUUCCAGAUUGCAGACAUAGGGUGUGCUUGACAAAAAUAGUUGUUACCCGGUAGCUCGUACCCGGUAGCUGCAAGCUGAAAACUAUAACAUUUAUUUUUUAUAUGAGUGUUUGAAAAAAGUAGGUAGAAGCUUUUGAAGUAUGUAAAAUUACAUAAAAUGACAAUUGUUUUUAUAUAUAUAUAUAUAUAUAUAUAUAUANNNNUAUAUAUAUGUAGACAGUUGUGUAAAUUGAUUUAAAAAAGCCCAGUCGCAUUUUGUUAAAUGCAAUAUGAAUUAACUUGUAGAUUUGGAGCAUUUUGUUUAAAGUCGAAAAUAAACGCUCGUAUUGCUAAACGAAGUUUUUUGUUUAAAUUGGAACGUUUUGUCAAAAUUUACAAGCUCUCAAACACUCCCAAACGCUCCGUGCCAAACACGCCAACCAUGCACACGAAUGCAAACAAGUGUUUCCUUUUAUUUUGUUAACAUUCGAUCUCACACAAAAAGAAUAUAAGGUGCUCCCCAAUUUCCACUUUUGAUCCCAACAUCUAACCUAUGUUUGCAUUAAGCCCUUCAUCCUCUAUUUAUUUUCAAAAUAACCAAACAAUAAUUAGUAGCAGAUUUUUCCGUCUAUUUUCAAAUUCGAAAUAUUUCAAAAUACCCUUCUAACUUAUGACCUAACUAUUCAACACACAUCUCAUUUUAAAUAUAUAAACAAUUAAUUUACUUCAUUAUUCUAUUUCUUUCCUUUUAAUAAACUUUUGGGCUAUUAAAUUCUAUUUUUGCCCACCAGCAUGCCCUGAAAUUCUUAUGUACUUGAUCGUCUGAUGUUCGAUAUGAAAUUUGGGAUGUUGCCCAGUCUCUUCAAGAAAACCACCCAUCCAUGAGCUAAGUUAGUGUAAGCUAUGACGUUCACUCCAUGUUUACAGAUCAAAUUCAUAGAAGCUAGGUCAUCAAACGUAUUAUAAAAUUUGGGAUGUUACCCAAUCUAUUCAAGAAUACCACACAUCCACGACCUAAGCUAGCGUAAGCCUAUGAAGUUCACUAUAUGCUCAAAUAAAUAAUUCGUAGAAGCUAGGUCAUCAAACUUAAAAUUUAUCUCAUUUUGAUAUUGAGAACGAGAUGGUAUCACGACAAUAGGAGGAGACAAAUUAUGCUUCAGAUAAAAAAGGCCCCUAUAUUAACAAAUACUAUAUUCAACAUUUGGUACCUAAAAAUAUUUGAGAAAAUAAAAAAAUCGAAGCAACGAUAGCAAAUGGUUCGUAAAUUAAUAUCAAAUAACCAAUCCAAAUCCAUCUCAAGAGAAGCCAAACGAUCAGAAAGUUUCUUCUUCCCAUCAUGAUGAUAAUCCAAAUCCAUCUUAAGAGAAGCCCUAUAUAAACAAGUAAUGUACUCAACACUUGAUGCCAGGUGGACUUGAUUUUUAUAAUUUGCGGUUUUAAGAGUAUAAAAAGUAUUAGUAAUUAACACCUUAAAAAUGUCAAAUUUCAAUAACUUACAUAAACACUAACAAACUAAUAAAUUGAGUAAUUAACAAUUAACCACUUAACAAUCGACAUUUAAAUAGCUUAAUUUAAAAGUUCAGACAGCACCAAACGAAUUUUUUAAGAGUUUGAGACAUUUAAAACACCACUAAAUCAAUAAGCUAAGUAUUAAUGACUAACAUCUUAAAAACACCCUAUUUGUAAAAUUUAAAAAAAAAAAAAAAAAGACAACAACAACAUUUUUUUCUCCUACUAUUUUCCCUUUUUUUCUUUCGCUGUACAAAUUUGCUAUUCGAACUUUCUUUCCACUAACUAGACUACAAGGCAAGCAAAAUCAUUACGUACUCAACAAUUAAAAAAUUAUUAACCAUUAGAGUAUAUAAACAAAGAGAAACAAAUUUUUUUGUCGACUAUUUUAUAAAUAUGAUUCUUUUGUUUGGGAGUGAAAUUGUGUACUGUGUUAAUGUUAUAUCUUGGCUUGUCUUGUACAAGUGCAUAAAGCAUACAAAGUUAACAAACAUGGUAGCUCUUUGUGGUAAAUCUAACUAAUAUCCUAUCUAAUCUUUCUUCCGGUUGACCUUUAAAGUGAACGAAAACUGAUGAAGUUAACUAGGAAACCAAAUAUUUUGUAAUAUCAGUUGAUAAUGUUACGAGCUUUCUCUCUCUCUCUCUCUCACACACACACACACACACUCUCUCUCUCUCUCUCUCUCUCUCUCUCUCUCUCUCUCUCUCUCUCUCUCUCUCUCUCUCUCUCUCUCUCUCACAAAAAUGAGUGGUGAUCAAUGUGUAGCAUUUGGGUCCAAGACCUUGUGAUAGUGAUAUAUUACCAAUUACUACCCCCACAUGCUUUUGUUCCUUAACAAAAUUAAAAUAUAAGUUAUCAUUGAUGCAUUACAAGACCCAAUUGGGCCUUACUUGAAAACUACUCCUUCGUAUUAACAACGAACUAGUGAUUGGAUAUACGAAUAGAGUUAUAACAGUUUUUAACUAUUCUUGUAAUUACUUACACACCAUAGGAUCGCGUAAAUUAAAGCCAAUGAGUCCUAUGAUAAAUCUAUGCAAUUUUUCUUACCACAACUAAUUAAUAUGCAAAAUUGUUGCAUAAUGACAUAAAGUGAGAAUCAUAGAACACCCGUAGAAAUAGUAUGUUUAAUCCGUAUUAUGCAUUUUGAUCGUUACCAACAGGAAAAUGAAAAACACCUUGAUGUUUGAUUUUAGUUUCGCACAUCGGUGAUAUUCCUAGCUAUAUUGAUACUUCUUUUUUGAAAUUGAGAAGACACUUCACUUUUUUCUUAAAUAUUGACAAUGAAUUUUGUUUCUCCUUCAAGUGUAAACCUAUAUCGUCAAAAAAUAUACAUGGUAUUCCAAACAAGUCAAAUUUCAUAUUUUAUACAACUGGGACAAGUGACUCAGUCUCGCAUGUUGCAAAACGGUAUGUGAUCCGUGCUUUACAAAAAAGUGUUAUCAAACAGAAUGAUGUCAGUUGACUUCAAAAUGCUCCCAGGCCACUUGCAAGAUCAUAGAAUGUCUGCUCACUACACCGGAUUGUUAGGCCGCCCAUUGGAUGGUCAUAUCCAAACUCUUCCUCCGUCUCACGUAAUAAGUCCUGAAAUGAAGGCUGGCUUAACAAUGACACAGGAAUCACAAAACGCUUCUUUUCUUGCUCUCCAACAUAAACUGCAAAAUAUCCUUUGGGUAGAUCCGUGUCUGUUGUGCGGGUUCCAUUUGACAAAGACCGUUUUAGUAUCUGUCUUGCUUGAAUGAUCCGAGGCAUACGAAUACCCAUUUUUCUGAAGGUUUAUCACGGAGGGACAAAAGAAUUUGGGAGUAUUUUCUAAGUGAAAGAUGUACAGGAGGAGUUUGAAAGGAAAUUAUGCUGGUGCUUUGCCUAUCAUAUGCUAUAUAUAAAGGUUUAUUGGAGCUUCAAAUGUACAAUAAGUGAUAAAAAAGAAAUUAAAUGACAGAUCGGGACAUUGCGACUGGACGACAAGAUCAUGUGCUGUGUCUUUUCACUUGUAUAAUUAAAAGUACGAUCUUGAAUAGCACAACCACAAAAUCUCAAGCAAUAAUACGGCUUAAUCAUGUACUUGUGAAUAGAAACGAAUAUAACAAAGAAGAUGACUUGUAUCACCAGUAUUCUAAACUUAGUUGGGUAUGAAAAACGGUAGAAGGACCAUGGUCCCAUGGAAUAUUUAGUUGAAUGUGGCAAUGCCUCCCAACAAACAUAAUAUUGUGGCUAAGAUCUCUGGGGUUUUCAUGAAACAUAUGUGGCCCUAUCAUAAAUACAUGAAUUAGACAUUGGAUCUGUCUUACAGGUUGGAAGACAAAGCCAUGUGAGGUUGCCAUUUCUUCCACCGUAUGUCACCAUCCUCAAUCAAGAUCUGCUUAGUUGUAUCUCUGUAUAUAAAGACCAUUCCAUAUGAAUCACACAAUCACAACAUCUUCUGAAAUCCCUCGCACCCUUUCACCCAAAAGACGUGCUUCGAGAGUUUCCUUCCUCAAUCAGGCUUUUGAAGUGAACAGACACCCCCUCCUUAAAAAUGGCCAUCCUUUUCCCUCGGAUCAUUCAAGUAAAACAAAUUAUGCGGAGAUCAUUAUCCAAUGGAAGCGGCACUACUAAAUCUACGGACAUCCCGAAAGGCUAUUUAGCAAUCUAUGUUGGUGAGCAAGAAAAGAAGCGAUAUGUGGUUCCUGUAUGGUUGUUAAGCGAACCUGCUUUUCAAGAAUUACAAGAUCAGGCAGAACAAGAAUUUGGGUAUGUUCAUCAAAUGGGCGGCCUCACAAUUCCAUGCAGUGAAUAUACAUUCAGUGAUGUUGCUUCUCAGUUGGGCGCAUUAUGAGUUCUAUACAGCAUUCUUACAACCAACUAACCACUAGGUUUUUUUAUCAUUUGUAACUAAAUCGAGACAAUUUUUCCACUUGUAUGAAAUCGGAUUAAGGAACAGUUUGGAGUUCACUAUAAUUUGUUUAGUGUAUGAAUGAGAAACUAAUUUCACGGUUGAUUAUUUUGGAAAUAUGAAUUUUGGGAGUGAAAUGGAGUUUUAACAAAGAUAGUUGCUUCUAGUGGUAAAACGAACUAAUACCAACGAAUCUUUCUUCCAUUUUCAUAUUUUAGGUGAAUGAAACUAAGGGAAACCAAAUAUUUCGUAAUAUGAAUUGGUAAUUAUUGUUAUGUAUGCUGGAAUUUUAACUCAAUAAACAAUGUGGUAUUUAUCAAGUUCAGACUUAUCAUCAAAAAUAUAAUUGGUGAACAAUAUGUAGCACUUGGGUCGAUGACCUUGUGAUGGUGAUAUAUAAAACAUUAAAUCUCACAUGCUUUUGUUCUUUAAGCAAAUUAAUAUAUAAAUUGGCUAAACAUUGAUGCAUUACACGACGAAUUCGGUCCUGCUUUUAAGAACAAUUUCAUCGUAUGAAAAAAGAACCUGGUGAUUAGAUAUAUGAAUAACGUUAUAUCAAUGUUUAACUAUUCUUUUGAUUACUUAUACACCCAUAUAUCAUGUAAAUUAGAGCCAAUGAGUCAUGUUUUUACAACUAUGCAAUUUCCUUAUCACAACCCAUUAAUAUGUGAAAUUGUUGCAUACAGCAUUAACUGAGAAUCAUUGUAGAAUAUCCGUAGAAGUAUUAUGUUCAAUCAUGAUUAUGCACCAUGACCGUUACGUACAAGACAAUGAAAAAACAUUGAUAUUUGAUUUUGGUUCCUCAUAUCAGGUGUAAGCACAUGUUGUUAUUAGAUUAGCCAACAACCAAACAAAAAAAGUUUAGUAUUCGUAUAUUCAUAGUUUCUUUUUGUUGUUUUUUUUUAAUUGAGCAGACACUUCUUUUUUGAAAGAAAAAAAAUGUUGACAAUGAAUUUUGUUUCUCAUUCAAGCGUAAGCUUAUAUCGUCAAAUAAUAUAUGGGGUACUCCAAACAAGUGAAAAUUCAUGUUUAAUACAACAGGGACAAGUGACACAAUCUCGCAUGCAUGUUGCAAAAAGGUCGAUCAAUGCUUUACAAAAAUGUUAAAGCAAAUAGAAUGAUGUAACUUCACAUCAAAAUGCUCCUAGGCGACUUUGAAGAUCAAAGAAUGUCUUCUCACUACAACGGAUUUUAGGCCACCCAUUGGAUUGUAAUAUCGAAAUCCAAACUCUUCCUCCGCCAAACGAGUACAGUUCAUUAACAUCGAGGUCUAAGUAAUCUAAAGUAACAACUUAAUCUUCCCCAAUAUAAAUUUUUUACCAAAAGCUUAGAAUAAAAGUAUGUUGCUAUUUCUUGCAUUUAAACUUUUUUAAUGUUAAAAAUAAGUAUAUUAAAAAAAAUAACAACGUCAGCAAGUAGAUGAGAAAGAAGCGGAAUGCAACACCAAUCCAAUUUUAACCGAACAAUUUCAUUCUUUAGCUUUUGUCCCUUCUUUGUAAAUUACUUAGAACUAUCCCAUUUGCAUCAAUACACCUGUAGAUUUGUUUCCACAAUUCUUCUAACAUUUACAUACCAAUUCCACGUUAUAAUCAAAGUUUUACCUAGCCCAUUCCCUUUUCCAUUAUGUGUUUGAAUUUACAGUUCAAUUCCAAUUUGAAUAAAGGUUAGUAAUACUCAAAUCAGUCGCAUUCCAGAUAUUCAAGUUUUUGCCAUGCAAUCAUAUUUCUAAGCUCAUUAAAAAUAGUAAUACAUGAGUCCAAAUCCAAUUUCAAAAUUUAUUUAAAUAUAUUUGAAAAAUCAACUUACUAUAAUUUGGUUAUUUCCUCAAGAAUCUAACAAACUGAAGAACAACUGGAAUUUUGGGUUACCAAAUGUGAGAAAUCAUUCAUCUGUGUAACAUCCGGAUUCCCAUGUAUAUUAUUUUAUUCAUUUAUUUUUGCAGUUUGUGGAGGAACUCGGCGAGUUGGUGCCAAGACUCGCCGAGUAGGGUCGCGGAUGUUCAUCCGGGUUCACGUCCGGACUCGGCGAGUCCAUGGGUGGACUCAGUAAGUCCACGCUGUUUAAUGAAGCCCUAAUUUCCAGGGUUUGGGACCUAUUUAAAGGUCCUUAUGGCCGUCAAUAGCGGCUACCACACCCUAGAGAGAGACCUAGAUCGUUUGUGAGGUAAAGAGUGGCCAUUGUUGAUCUUUUGUUUGUGUGAAUUGAAGGAGAAGGUGAUCAAGGCAAGAGAAGGCUGCAGGAAGUGCAAAUCUUGUGAUUUCAAGGUUCAAGGGUUUCAUAUUGAGGUAUUCCUUCGGACUUUCUCUAGUUUUGGGUGGUUAUUCAUAAAGUUAGGGUUUUCAAACCCUUUAGAAGAUGAUUAUGUAGAGUAUUUGAUCCCUUCUUGAGUUUGUGCCUUGGAUCUGGACUCAAAGAGGUCCAGAGACCUUAACCCAUGGAGCUUUAUGAGUCAUUUUGGGGUUAAUGGACUUAGGUUGCCAUUUUUGGGGCUAAAUCACCAUUUGAUGCCAUUUUGUUGAUAUAUAAGCAUCAAGUUUCGAGAUUUACGUGACAUUCAUGCUUGGGAAGGCCAGAUCUAUGGUUUAGGGGAACAGAUCUGGCCUCAGGAGGUCAAUAGAGUUUGUGCAUGGCAUGAACUCGCCGAGUUGUUCUUGAGACUCGGCGAGUAGGGUUAGGAUUUCACGUAAAUCACUCGGUGAGUAGACUUGCCGAGUUGGGGGAUAACUCAGUGAUUCAGAAGGGGAUUAGAGGACUGGAGUUCGAGGCGAUACUCACCGAGUUGUUCUUGAGACUCGGCGAGUUGAGUCGGGGCGGCACCACGAUUCAUGCAAGGGGUGACUCGUCGAGCAUAGGGAGGGACUCGACGUACCAAGCGGGACAAAGAGUUAGUGGACAGGUGUGUACUCGCCGAGUCGCCAAAGUGCACUCGACGAGUUGGGUCAAAGUUUGACCGUUGACUUUAGUUGACUUUUAGGGUUUGGUCAACAAUGGAGUCUUUGAGUCGAAAGAGGGGUAAAAUAGUCUUUUACCCUUCUGAGGGUGCCAAUUGAGGGUUGAGUCUAGUCUCGAGAGUUAUAUUUAUGAGAGUAUUUACUUUAUGUGAAUAGGCGAAGGCUAGGCAAUAUUUCUACCGAGUCAGAGAUUUACCGAGACGUCUGCGGUGAGUCUUCUCACUAUACUUUACCUAGUGUGGUAACAGAGUUACGUGACAGAGUAUUUUAGAGUUAUAUGCCAAUGUAUUUGCAUGUUAUUUAUGUGUUUUGAUUUAUUGCGAUAUGUGAUAUGCAUGAUUCAGAGUUACAGAGUAAGGACCUUCGGGUCCAUUGAGUUAGGGUCGGAGGGCCCACAAAGAGUUGGGGCUGGAGGGCCCCACUGAGACACAUUGACCAGAGGGUCGACAAAGUUAUAGCCUCGAGUGGCUAUUAUGUGUUAGAGUGGUAUUUUGGGGAACUCACUAAGCAUUUAUGCUUACAGUGUUAUGUGUUAUGUGUUUCAGGUACCAAUGAUGAUCGCGGGAAGGCUCCAGCAUGAUUCGUACACACGCACAUUGGAGUUUAUAUAUUUUGAUCUUGGGGUUCUGUGCUGAUACAAUGUUGAUACAACGUUUUUAUUUAUGAAUGCAAAUGAUAUUUCAUGGUUUUUUAAAAGUGAAAAAUUGUUCAAAUUUUUACGGUGUUACAAUCUGUUAUAUGAUUUAUGUUCUCCUUUUCUUUUUCCCAUGUGGUUCGGUUCGCACUCAACAUAAUACAAAGAGACCUUGAAGGUAUCCCUUUCUUUCCAGAUUGCAGACAUAGGGUGUGCUUGACAAAAAUAGUUGUUACCCGGUAGCUCGUACCCGGUAGCUGCAAGCUGAAAACUAUAACAUUUAUUUGUUAUAUGANAUAUAUAUAUAUAUAUAUAUAUAUAUAGACAGUUGUGUAAAUUGAUUUAAAAAAGCCCAGUCGCAUUUUGUUAAAUGCAACAUGAAUUAACUUGUAGAUUUUGAGCAUUUUGUUUAAAGUCGAAAAUAAAUGCUUGUAUCGCUAAACGAAGUUUUUUGUUUAAAUUGGAACGUUUUUUCAAAAGAUACAAGCUCUCAAACACUCCCAAGCGCUCCGUGCCAAACACACCUACCAUGCAUAUAAAUGCAAACAAGCGUUUUCUUUUAUUUUGUUAAUAUUCGAUCUCACACAAAAAGAAAAUAAGGUGCUCCCCAAUUUCCACUUUUGAUACCAACAUCUAACCUAUGUUUGCAUUAAGCCCUUCAUCCUCUAUUUAUUUACAAACUGACCAAACAAUAAUAAGUAGCAGAUUUUUCCCUCUAAUUUCAAAUUCGAAAUAUUUCAAAAUACCCUUCUAAUUUAUGACAUAACUAUUCAACAUUUAUCUCAUUUUACAUAUAUAAACAAUUAAUUUACUUCACUAUUUUAUUAGUUUCCGUUUAAUAAACUUUUAGGCUAUUAAAUUCUAUUUUUCCCACCAGCAUGCCCUAAAAUUCUAAUAUACUUGAUCGUCUGAUGUUUGAUAUAAAAUUUGGGAUGUUGCCCAGUCUCUUCAAGAAAACCACCCAUCCACGACCUAAGUUAGUGUAAGCUAUGACGUUCACUCCAUGUUUACAGAUCAAAUUCAUAGAAGCUAGGUCAUCAAACGUAUUAUAAAAUUUGGGAUGUUACCAAUUCUCUUCAAGAAUACCACACAUCUACGACCUAAGCUAGUGUAAGCCUAUGAUGUUCACUACAUGCUCAAAUAAAUAAUUCGUAGAAGCUAGGUCAUCAAGCUUAAAAUUUAUCUCAUUUUGAUGUUGAGAACUAGAUGGUAUAACAACAAUAGGAGGAGGCAAAUCAUGCUUCAGAUAAAAAAGAGCCCUAUGUAAACAAAUACUAUAUUCAACAUUUGGUGCCUAAAAAUAUAUGAGCAAAUAAAAAAAUCGAAGCAACGAUAGCAAAUGGUUCGGAAAUUAAUAUCAAAUAACCAAUCCAAAUCCAUCUCAAGAGAAGCCCUAUAUAAACAAGUAAUGUACUCAAAACUUGAUGCCAUGUCGACUUGAUUUUUUUAAUUUGCGGUUUUAAGAGUUUAAAAAGUAUUAGUAAUUAACACCUUAAAAACGUCAAAUUUCAAUAAGUUACAUAAACACUAACAAACUAGUAAAUUGAGUAAUUAACAAUUAACCACUUAACAAUCCGACAUUUAAAUAGCUUAAUUUAAAAGUUCAAAUAGCACCAAACGAAUUUUUUAAGAGUUUGGGACAUUUAAAACACCACUAAAUCAAUAAGCUAAGUAUUAAUGACUAACAUCUUAAAAAUACCCAAUUUCUAAAAUUAAAAAAAAAAAAAAAAAGACAACAACAACAUUUUUUCUCCUACUAUUUUCCCUUUUUUCUUCCGAUGUACGAAUUUCCUAUUCGAACUUUCUUUCCACUAACUAGACUACAAGGCAAGAAAAAUCAUUACGUACUCAACAAAUAAAAAAUUAUUAACCAUUAGAGAAUAUAAACAAAGAGAAACAAAUUUUUUUGUCGACUAUUUUAUAAAUAUGAUUCUUUUGUUUGGGAGUGAAAUUGUGUACUGGGUUAAUGUUAUAUCUUGGCUUGUCUUGUACAAGUGCAUAAAGCAUACAAAGUCAACAAAAAUGGUAGCUCUUUGUGGUAAAUCUAACUAAUAUACUAUCUAAUCUUUCUUCCUGUUGACCUUUAAAGUGAACGAAAGCUGAUGAAGUUAAUUAGGAAACCAAAUAUUUUGUAAUAUCAGUUGAUAAUGUUACGAGCUCUCUCUCUCUCUCUCUCUCUCUCUCUCUCUNCUCUCUCUCUCUCUCUCUCUCUCUCUCUCUCUCUCUCUCUCUCUCACAAAAAUGAGUGGUGAUCAAUGUGUAGCAUUUGGGUCCAAUACCUUGUGAUAGUGAUAUAUUACCAAUUACUACCCCCACAUGCUUUUGUUCCUUAACAAAAUUAAAAUAUAAGUUAUCAUUGAUGCAUUACAAGACCCAAUUGGGCCUUACUUGAAAACUACUCCUUCGUAUAAACAACGAACUAGUGAUUGGAUAUACGAAUAGAGUUAUAACAGUUUUUAACUAUUCUUGUAAUUACUUACACACCAUAGGAUUGCCAAAAUUAAAGCCAAUGAGUCCUAUGAUAAAUCUAUGAAAUUUUUCUUACCAUAACUAAUUAAUAUGCAAAAUUGUUGCAUAAUGACAUAAACUCAGAAUCAUAGAACACCCGUAGAAAUAGUAUGUUUAAUCCGUAUUAUGCAUUUUGAUCGUUACCAACAGGAAAAUGAAAAACACCUUGAUGUUUGAUUUUAGUUUCGCACAUCGGUGAUAUUCCUAGCUAUAUUGAUACUUCUUUUUUGAUAUUGAGCAGACACUUCGGUUUUUUCUUAAAUAUUGACAAUGAAUUUUGUUUCUCCUUCAAGUGUAAACUUAUAUCGUCAAAAAAUAUACAUGGUAUUCCUAACAAGUCAAAAUUCAUAUUUUAUACACCUGGGACAAGUUACUCAGGCUCGCAUGUUGCAAAACGGUAUGUGAUCCGUGCUUUACAAAAAAGUGUUAGCAAACAGAAUGAUGUCAGUUGACUUCAAAAUGCUCCCAGGCCACUUGCAAGAUCAUAGAAUGUCUGCUCACUACACCGGAUUGUUAGGCCGCCCAUUGGAUGGUCAUAUCCAAACUCUUCCUCCGUCUCACGUAAUAAGUCCUGAAAUGAAGGCUGGCUUAACAAUGACACAGGAAUCACAAAACGCUUCUUUUCUUGCUCUCCAACAUAAACUGCAAAAUAUCCUUUCGGUAGAUCCGUUUCUGUUGUGCGGGUUCCAUUUGACAAAGACCGUUUUAGUAUCUGUCUUGCUUGAAUGAUCUGAGGCAUACGAAUACCCAUUUUUCUGGAGGGACACAAGAAUUUGGGAGUAUUCUCUAAGUGAAAGAUGUACAGGAGGAGUUUGCAGAGGAAAUUAUGCUGGUGCUUUGCUUAUCAUCGCUAUAUAUAAAGGUUUAUUGGAGCUUCAAAUGUACCAUAAUUGAUAAAAAGGAAAUUAAAUGACAGAUGGGGCAUUGCGACCGGAAGACAAGAUCAUGUGCCGCUGUCUUUUCACUUGUGUUAUUAAAAGUAUCAUCUUGAAUUGCACAACCACAAAGUCACAAACAAUAAUAUGGCUUAAUCAUUUACUUUUAAAAAGAAACGAAAUUUAACAAAGAAGAUAACUUGUAUCACCAGUAUUCUAAGCUUAGGUGGGUAUGAAAAACGGAAGAAGCACCAUGGUCCCAUGUAAUAUUAAGAUGAAUGUGGCAAUGCCUCCCAACAAGCGCGAAAUUGUGGCUAAGAUCUCUGGGGUUUUCAUGAAACAUAUGUGGCCCUCUCAUAAAUACAUGAAUUAGACAUUGGAUCUGUCUUACAGGUUGGAAGACAAAGCCAUGUUGUGAGGUUGCCAUUUCUUCCACCGUAUGUCACCUUCCUCAAUCAAGAUCUGCUUAGUUGUAUCUCUGUAUAUAAAGACCAUUCCAUAUGAAUCACACAAUCACAACAUCUUCUGAAAUCCCUCGCACCCUUUCACCCUAAAGACGUGCUUCAAGAGUUUCCUUCCUCAAUCAGGCUUUUGAAGUGAACAGACACCCGCUCCUUAAAAAUGGCCAUCCUUUUCCCUCGGAUCAUUCAAGUAAAACAAAUUCUGCGGAGAUCAUUAUCCAAUGGAAGCGGCACUACAAAAUCUACGGACAUCCCGAAAGGCUAUUUAGCAAUCUAUGUUGGUGAGCAAGAAAAGAAGCGAUAUGUGGUUCCUGUAUGGUUGUUAAGCGAACCUGCUUUUCAAGAAUUACUAGAUCAGGCAGAACAAGAAUUUGGGUAUGUUCAU